CUAACACUAGGAUAAAGCUGUGUGGAUUUACUCUCUGAUUCUGAAAUCAAUCAUGAGUCAAACUCUACUCAUUUUAUUUGCCUUUUUACCAUAUGUUUCUGGCAUCUCACUGACCUCGUCUCCUGCACAGAUUAAAGCUCCUGGUCAGUCAGUGAGGUUGUCCUGUCAGAUCUCUGGAUAUGCCCUCACAGAUUAUGGCACAGCUUGGAUCAGGCAGCCUCCUGGAAAAGCCAUGGAGUGGAUCGGGAUCAUAUGGGGCAGUGGAUCAAUAGACUCUGGGAAUUCCUUCAAGAGUCGAUUCACUAUUUCGAGAGACACGGGCCAAAAUGAGCUGUACUUAGACAUUAGCAGCCUGCAGACUGAAGACACAGCUGUUUAUUACUGUGCAAAGACACACCACAGUGGAUCAGUUCAGUGUGAGAAACUGACAAAAACAGAUCUGCAGUUCAUCAACACAGUUACAAACACACAAUAAAUGACCUGCUUCAUGUUCAGGAUCAUAU